UUUUUCAAAUACUGGGAUUAGACCCCACUAUGCCUAGCCGUAAAACAUUUACUUACACUUUUAACCGCCCGGGAAUUACGAGCCCAAGCUUAAAACCCAAAGGACUUGACGGUGUCCCACCCACCUAGAGGAGCCUGUUCUAUAAUCGAUUCCCCCCGAUCUACCUCACCAUUUCUAGCUUUUCAGCCUGUAUACCUCCGUCGUAAGCUUACCAUAUGAACGUCUCUCAGUGAGCUAAAAGAUUUCCUCGUAAAUACGUCAGGUCAAGGUGCAGCCCACGAAAUGGUAAGCAAUGGGCUACAAUUUCUACCAUAGAACAUAACGAAAGACUAUAUGCAACUUAGUCAUGAAGGCGGAUUUAGCAGUAAAAAGAAAGUAGAGAGUCUUUUAAUAGCGCUGACC
rnacentral:rRNA from 1 species